GAGUGAUGAUGGAAAUGAAGAGGAAGAGGGUCCAGCCACUUCUCCAACAAACCUUUCCUCACUCCCUGUAAAGCAGCUGUACAAGACCUAUUUGAUCAAGAAAA